rnacentral:rRNA from 1 species
CCCUUAGACGUUCUGGGCCGCACGCGCGCUACACUGACCAGUGCAACAAGCAUCCGUCCUUGGCCGACAGGCUCGGGCAAUCUUUGAACGCUGGUCGUGAUGGGGAUAGACUUUUGCAAUUUUUGGUCUUCAACGAGGAAUUCCUAGUAAACGCAAGUCAUCAACUUGCAUUGAUUACGUCCCUGCCCUUUGUACACACCGCCCGUCGCACCUACCGAUUGAAUGGUCCGGUGAAGCCUCCGGAUUGGCGCGCACCUCGGUGCCGCCGAGAAGUUGGCUCAACCUUACCAUUUAGAGGAAGGUGAAGUCGUAACA